GACGAACGCUGGCGGCGUGCCUAAUACAUGCAAGUAGAACGCAGUUGCGAACGGGUGAGUAACGCGUAGGUAACUGCCUCAUAGCGGGGGAUAACUAUUGGAAACGAUAGCCAAUACCGCAUACUGUGAGAUGGACCUGCGUUGUAUUAGGUAGUUGGUGAGGUAAAGGCUCACCAAGGCGACGAUACAUAGCCGACCUGGGAGGGUGAUCCGCCACACGUGGACCGGGACAAGGCCCAAACUCCUGCGGGGGGGAGCAGUAGGGGAUCUUCGGCAAUGGACGGAAGUCUGACCGCGCAACGCCGGGUGAGUGAAGAAGGGUUUCGGAUCGUAAAGCUCUGUUGUGAGGGAAGCGGUACCUAACCAGAAAGGGACGGCUAACUACGUGCCAGCAGCCGCGGUAAUAC
rnacentral:rRNA from 1 species